rnacentral:rRNA from 1 species
UACGUAGGCAGCAAACGUUGUUCGGAAUUACUGGGCGUAAAGAGUGUGUAGGCGGUUUUGUAAGUUUGGUGUGAAAUCUCCCGGCUUAACUGGGAGGGUGCGCCGAAAACUGCAAGGCUAGAGUAUUGGAGAGGAUAGCGGAAUUCCUGGUGUAGCGGUGAAAUGCGUAGAUAUCAGGAGGAACACCGGUGGUGUAGACGGCUAUCUGGACAAUUACUGACGCUGAGACACGAAAGCGUGGGGAGCAAACAGG